CACACACACACAGCGGUAUACCAAAAUAUACCACUCGGUAUAUAGUAUCAUACCGUAUCAAAUAAGUCUUGAAAUUUUGGUAUAGUACAAAAUUUCAAUCCUUGAUUUAAGUGACUUCUUUUAUUGACUAACAUGCAAAUAUCGGGACUGUGUAACUUAUAUAUCAUGAACUAGCAUUGUCCAUAAUGUAAGUUACUCAUAUAAGAAACCAACAAGUAUGCUUUCUAUGGAUGAUAAUUGUUAGGACGGGAAACCACAACAUGUGGAUAAGGCUCUUAAUGGUGAAAUUUUAUAGGUUGGAUCAAGGUAUGCAAUACCGUACCGUAUUAGUAUUUCGAGGUUGGCUCGGUAUGGUAUAGUACCGUAUACCGAGCGGUACGUCAGGGUGUACCGAGCGGUACACCUAAUUUAGGUGUAAGACCCUCCGAAAAUACCUAAAAAUAAAAUAAAAGUUAGGAUAGGAUUUUUAUGUUAGAAAUAAAUAUAGUAAUAGCAUAAGUUUAAUAAAAUCAAUGUAAAUUAGGUAAGAAUAGUAUCAUAUAUCUUUUUCAGGCUUUGAAGAAUAUCUUAUGCAAGGUUCAUAUUUCAGUUUAGUACGGAUUAUCCUUAUGUAAACAUAACUCUUGAUUAGAAAGUUCUUCCUCUUAAUCUUCCUAAAUUAGCCUCGAUUCAAUUUACAAAUCGUUGUUUUGUAGAGUUUAGGAGAGAACAAAUGUGAGAAAAAAAGAGUUUGAGAUAGUUUAAGAGAGUAUGAGAAUGUAAUGGAGUGAAAUAAAGGAGAAGAAGGGUUUUUAAAUAUCAUAAGAAAGGGUUCCAAUGGUCAAUUUGACCAUUGGAGCACUGUAUCACUGUUACCGAGCAGUUUUAAAUAUUUCUUCCUCUUACUGUAGCAUUGUAGCACUCUAGCAUGUUCUGUCCGGUAGCGGGUGGUCCGCAAACCGGUAUGUCGUCGGACCGGUACGUAUCGCCCGUACCGGUUGGUAUCAUUCUAAAUUGGUUGGAUUAAGAUUGACAAUCCUUAGAACAUGAUGAGGUAAACUACUCCACUCUAUUUGACUUUGUGAACUAAAACUUGAUGGUUAAUUUUUUUUUUAACUUUUUAUUGGCAGCUGUAAUGACAUAUAUGAAUCUCCAAUUGAAUUGUGAGAGACACGAUGGCUAUGCAGGUCCAUCUUCUCAAAGGAUUUGGACUGCCAUUUAAAUGAACAAGUCUCCACAUUGUUAGUUACAGAUGUUCUUCUGUUUCUUCUUUGCAUUUUGUUCUAUAAUAUUUUGUGUCAAACAUUGAAAUAAUUAUAGAUGAUGUGUUCCAUAUUACUUAAUAGAAAUUCUUUUGCUUUUUGGCUUUCCACGUGUUUAAAAGUGUUCUUUCUUAGUUUAGAGGAUUCCACAAUAAGUUUAUGAAGAAACUAAUGUUAAUUAAAUUAUUUUUUCAUGCAUAUUAUGUGAAUGGAUAUGGUUUCUUAUCAAAUCAAUUUACAACCUGAUUUGGCAAUUUUGUACUUGAAUAGUUGGGUCUGUCUUCAAUAUUUGAUGAAAUUGUUAAAACUGAAGUAACCAGGCACAUGCAACCUACUGAUUACUUGAGCUUGUUUGGGGAAGAAUUCAAAUGAACUGAAGAUUAUUGGGAUGCUUCUUAUUUGAAUGUCUUGGAUAUAUCUGCAGCGGAAGAAGGCAGUCCUCAUGUCUUAUUUGGAUGUGCUUCACAAGCAAAAGCAGCAUGUGUAUUGAUUGAUUUAUGCUUUGGACCAUUAUCACCAUGGAUAUAUACAAUUACUGCAAAGGUUUCAUCUUUUUCCAUAAUAAGUCUACAUAUUAAGUCAACAACUUGUAUUUUUGUAACUGCAUUGACCCUUUUUCAUGUUGAUCUUGCAAUUGAACUUCUGGAGGACCUCUUGGUGUUAUUCAAGUAAUUUCAUCAUUCUUCUUGUUUUUAUUACUGUUAUGAAGGCUUAAUUCUUUAUUAUAAUGAAUGCUCGUUUGGUUGGUUGGUUGGUUAUGAAGUCAUGGAUACAAGUGUAAGAUAUUGAUAUGAUGGAUAUGGAUAUGUAUCAAUGUAUAAUGUUCACUAUUUAAUGUGACAAAAUUUGGUAUUUAUUUAAUGUUAGAAUAGGUAGAUGUAUAUAAAUCAUGAUUCAUCAUAAUUAACCUAUUCAUCAUGAAAAUAUAUAAACAAUGUUUGGUGAAUUAUCUAACAUAAGCAAUUAAAACUAUUUAUGUUUGAUGAGUACUUGGUCAUUUCUUGGUGCAGAUCUGACCUUUUUUGUGGUCAAUACAUUGUGAUUUAUUGUGGAUGGUCAAAUUAUCAAUCACUAAUUUUCUCUUGAAAUAAUCUCCUCAUUUUGAGAAAAAUGUUAUUUGAUUUGAACAUCAUAGUCCUAGCAUAACAAAGACUAUGAAGUUCAGAGGCAAUUUGUUCUGCUGUGGUAUAAUAUUUGAUGAUGAUUGUUCAGAUGACAAUUAGUUUCACCAUUUGAUGAUUGUUCAGAUGGCAGUGGUUGAUGAUUGUCGAACUAUGUUAUGCUAGUAUAAUACUAGCAUGGAGUUUUGUUUUAUACCAAGGAUGUCCCUGAACACACAAUCAAGCACAAGGCUUGUUCCAGCCAUAUGUUUAAACCGUGCUGAUCGGCAUGUAUUGUACUGACAUGUCCAUCCUGAUGAACUAAAAAAAUACUUUCUAUGACCUAUCAUAGAUGUUAUUUUGUGAUCCAUCUAUUACCUUAUUAUGAAGAUUCCAACAAUAUCAGUCAUUUGUACACUUGAAUAAAACCCUGAUCUCUUGAAUUUGAUCCUGAUCAUCAUAGCAGUUAUUGUGAAACUGAAACUUUUGUCUGUUGGAUUGGAGUUUUCCUUUUUUUCUAGAGAGCCAAUAAAGAACCUACUGUUUCAGUGUUUUGAUGAUACAACUAUGACGUAGCCUUGUACAGAGUUCUUUGGAGUGUUGUGCUCAACUCUUAUGGGACUUUUAUGGACCAAUAUAACUACUGUUGUGGCUUGGAAAGCUAUAUAUUUCUUAAUGGGUAACAGAUUAUUUUUUACAUGUUUCUAAGAUACCAAUAUACACUUAAAAUAUACACUUCUAAUCCUGUGAAUGCAAGUCCUUUAGUUCUAGUUACUGUCAUUUAGUACUUUUUAGUUCAUGAACCCUGUAUGUGACAUCCAUCUUUCAUCUGUGUGCUCAAGAAACUGUGAAUUUCAUCACAAUGCCCCCGUUAUUAUCCAAAUUCUAUCCACUUCCUCCUGAAUAAAAAUUCAAGAAAAGGAAAAAAUUUCAUAUGAUAGAUUAUGCACUUAUUUUCAUGCUUCAUGUUUGGUUGACUCUGUUCAUAAUGCCCCUACCGGGUGUUUCCAGAAUCUACUAGUCGUGCUUAUGCUGCUUUGAAGCAAGGUAUACAAUUUUGAAUGGUACCACCCGGUACAGGCGGUACGUACCGGUCCGAUAGGUUACCGGUAUGCGGACCACCCAUUACCAGGAGGAACGCUUAAACUAUCUCAAACCCUUCUCAUGUUUUUAAACCAUUCUUCUCCCCUAUUUCACUCCAUUUCAUUCUCAUACUCUGUUAAACUAUCUCAAACUCUUUUUUUCUCAUAUUUGUAUUAUCUUAAACUCCAUUACACCUAAAUUAGGCGUACCGUACCAUAUCAAGCCAACCUCGAAAUGUCGGUACGGUACGAUGUUUCAAUCCUUGCUUUGAAAUAUAUCUUGCUGGCCUUGUCUGAGCAUAUGGAUGAUGUACUGUCAAAAUAUAAGGUUUGACCUUCUAUUAAAGUAUCAAGCAUAAUUUUGCUUACUCUUUCCAAUCAGAUAGAUGAUGCUUUUACCAUCCUUGUAGGAAUUUAAACAUAGGCUUCUAUUUCUUUUAGAGAUGCUAGAACCCUUCCGUGAUCCUGUGAUUACUGGAACAAAGAAUACAACUUCUGAAGAUGCUAAUGAUAUACACUUGGAGAAAUAGAAGAACUGUUGUAUUGCAUUCAAUGUUAUAUGUACUGCAUUACGAAGGCCUGCCAUUCUUCCUUUUGUGGAAUGUGAAUGGAGACGUGAAUCUAUUGCACCAAGGUCUAUUGUAACAGCAUAUGCUAAUAUCAUAGAGAAAUUAAAAAAAUUUUAACAUCUUUAUAGUUUAUACUUUAUAAUGCUUAUUUUUGGAGAUGCAAAGAGAGAGAAUGAAGUGAUCGGUGAAGACUACAGUUUAAAAAGAUGUGAGAGUCAAAAAAGAAGAAAUUAUUAUUAUUUUUUUUUCCCUGCAACAAAAUGAAUCUUAUCAAAUGCACCUUGUUGGUUGUUACAUUACUUGGUUUUUAGCUGACAAUAUACUGUCUUCAUUGUCUUUCUAUAUUGCAGUGUACUCCUUUUUGUUUUGGGGCCACAUAUGCCAUUUCCUUCAGAUAUUGACCUUUGCAAAUGUUCAUUUCCUAAGGUGGCUGAUCAAGAGUCUUUAGCUGUUUCUUCUAACUUUGUGAUAUGUUCUCAUGGGGCUUCUAGCACAUCCAGUAAUCCGGAUGAAGCAAAGAGAAAGAUUGAUGCAUCUAAAGCUGCCACAAGAAAAGAUGUACUCCAAGAUGCUAAUCUGUAGUUUGCUCCUAGAGAUCUGUCAAAAAUUGUUCUGACAAGUGUUUCAAAUUAUUUUACUGGGGACUGGAUCAGAUUGAAUUUCAGUUGUGGUGUUUCAGAGGUGAAUAAGAUUUCAAAUAACAACUUUCAGAAUAUUGGUUUCUUUGCUGAUUACUUGUAUUCACAAGCAGAUUAUCUACAACUUGUAAACUAUCAAGAUUCGGUAUAUAGGGCUUCCCAAUUUGAACAUUUGGCAGCUGAUUUGUGUUCCCAGCAUGACAACCCCAGAAAGCCAUGAAGCUGCAAUAGAAUCCAUACUCUUGGCUGCAGAAUGUUAUGCCAACUCAUUCUUUAUAAUCGAUUUCAUAUGGAUGCAAUUCAGAGCUUAUGAAUCAGAUGAAAAUCAUUGGAUCCAAAUUCAUGAAUAAAAAUGGAUUAGUGGUGUUUUAUGAAGACCUUAAGAGAUGUAAUGUCAAUCUGGAGACAAUAGCUUAUCUUGAAAGUAAAAGAGAUAUAACUGUUCUACAAAUUCUGCUUCCGCUAAACUGGACCUCGAAUCUGAGAGAAUUUUGGCUCUUUGGAAACCUUGUACAUAUUAUUUUGAAGAUAAUCAGUAGGCUUUAGAAAUAUCACAAGUCGACAUUGAAUCUGAUGUGGCAACUUUGAUUAGGCAGAAUCAACCAUUGCUUUGCCACUUUGUAAUCCUCCUACAGAGUCUCCCCUCUUUCUACUGCAUUCUGCAACUGAGUUAUCCUGUUCUGUAGAGAAUGUUAAUGACAUUAUACUGCAGUCAGCUGCAAAUCUUAGUGGACAACUUACAAUUUUGUACACCCAACUGAAAGCAGGCAACAUACAACUUGAAAUGGUAAAGUUACAUGGGCUGCCAAGGUGCUGGGCACUUCUUGAAGGAUUAAUCUGGAAAUGAUGAACGGACAUAUCCCAUUGGUAUCAAAAGUGCUGGUUUCAUCUACAGAACUUUAGUUCCACAUUUAUCAUGGAUGCAGAAAAUAUCUAGAUUUUCAA